AAGGAUUUUCAACAGGUUAAGUAUUGUUCUGAAAUUAAUUUGGUGUUUUAAGACUAUUUUAAAACCUUUUAAUCUAUUUUAAAUCCUCUCGUGAGAUGGAGGGCGGGAUAUAUAAACCCUGUGAUUUGUAUUUAGCUUGGAGGUUGUUUCGGCUUUUCAGGCUGAAAAUGUCAGAUUUUUGACGAAGUAUGACCAAUUUUUUAUUUUUUUUUUACUCUGCUCACGGUUUAUGACUUUUAAAUGUUUUACCUUACUUGGAUCCAGGGGGGAUUUGAGGUUGAGUAUUUUCUGCAGUGCACGAGACACCACUUCUUUCCUUUUCACCAGAAACGCCUUCUCCUUUGCAGAAGUGCAGAGCUGUCCUCCACAGACCCCACGACCUGACAUGGUGAAACGUUUGGUGUUGUUUUCAGCAGUGACGGAACAUGGUCUGAAGUUACAAACAAGCAAGCCUCCAGGAACGGCCCAGUAGACAGGAGCAACUAGGCAAGCUGGGCGAAGGUCGGCUCUGGGAACUGCGGUGAAGAAUGAGCUUAUAUUGAUGAAAUCUAAAGAAGACAUCUAUCUACCUUGGAGCUGGUUCUUGGUUUGUAGUUAAGUGUAAAAUGAAAGCAAGUGAAGAUAAAUGCUCAUCUGCAGUUUAUUAAAAAGCCAGGUUUAUGGCUAAUAAUUCCCUGCUCCCCAGAUUUCAAUUUCUUUCAGCAGGUGUUAGCGUGAUUGGAAAAUAAGCAUAUAAAUGUCGAUGAGUGUGCCAGUCGUACAUGUAGAUUUUCAAAUACAUCCACUACGCAGCAAAUACUACAGUGUGGGAUC